rnacentral:rRNA from 1 species
ACGUGGCGGCGUGGAUAGGACUGCAGUCUAACGAAAACGGUGUAGCAAUAUGCCGGAUUGAGUGGCGAAAGGGGCAGUAAGGCGUGGGUAACCUACCCUGGGGACCGGGAUAGCCUUCCUAACGGAUGGGUAAUACCGGGCGAUCUGCCGAGGGGGCAUCUCCUUGUCAGGAAAUGAGUUUCGCUUCGGGAGGGGCUCACGUGAUAUUAGCUUGUUGGCGGGGUAACGGCCCACCAAGGCCAAGAUGUCUAGCAGGUGUGAGAGCACGACCUGCGCCACUGGCACUGAGACACUGGCCAGACACCUACGGGUGGCUGCAGUCGAGGAUCUUCGGCAAUGGGCGCAAGCCUGACCGAGCGACGCCGCGUGUGCGAUGAAGGCCUUCGGGUUGUAAAGCACUGUCGAGGGGGCAGGAAGGCGCAAGCUUGACCUAUCCCUGGAGGAAGCACGGGGCUUAAGUUCCGUGCCAGCAAGGCCGGGGGUAAGGACGAAACCCGUGCGAACGGUUGGUUCCGGGAAUCCACUUGGGGCUUAAAGGGGCCGCCGUAAGGCCGGGUUCGGGCAAAGUCCCGGGGGUUGGAAAAGGCCCCCAAGGUUUAACUUGGGGGAAGUUGGCCUU